rfam:Algibacter lectus DNA, contig: contig00014, strain: JCM 19300.
UUGAACCAACAUAAAAAAUAACAAUGAACAUAUUUUUAAAUAAUUCUUGGUGGUGGAACUUUCGAAACUAAAAUUCGUGAAGAAACCCGAGUAUAUUUAAAACUUAAAAUAUCCAAAAGGCUUGUC